UGAAACUACAUUUCAAGAAGUAGCAAGUCAACAGAUGAACACAGAUGUGUCAAUCAUUGAAGGACAUCCGCGUCCCUUGAUUGACACUGAUGUAGGAGAAUAUUCAUUUUUUGAGAUAGACUCUCAACUGCUGAGAGAGAUAUUUGCUCCUGAUGAACAAGAAGACACUGGUUGCUUUGGACUGCAGCAGUCCAUUCACAACAAAGAGAACCCAAAUCACAAGGGCUUUGCCUUUGGUACCUCUACAACUACUCAUUCAUGAGAUAUUCCUAUUCAAGUCCUGCUUGGGAGCUUAACAGAAUUGCAUACUACAAUCAGAGACUCACUAUGGUAUGUGGAUAGCUUGAGAGGGUAGCGUGUGUCCCUCUGCUAGUCUGCUCUGCAU
rnacentral:misc_RNA from 1 species